rnacentral:rRNA from 1 species
AUGAACGCUGGCGGCGUGCCUAAUACAUGCAAGUCGAGCGAACAGACGAGGAGCUUGCUCCUCUGACGUUAGCGGCGGACGGGUGAGUAACACGUGGAUAACCUACCUAUAAGACUGGGAUAACUUCGGGAAACCGGAGCUAAUACCGGAUAAUAUAUUGAACCGCAUGGUUCAAUAGUGAAAGACGGUUUUGCUGUCACUUAUAGAUGGAUCCGCGCCGCAUUAGCUAGUUGGUAAGGUAACGGCUUACCAAGGCAACGAUGCGUAGCCGACCUGAGAGGGUGAUCGGCCACACUGGAACUGAGACACGGUCCAGACUCCUACGGGAGGCAGCAGUAGGAAAUCUUCCGCAAUGGGCGAAAGCCUGACGGAGCAACGCCGCGUGAGUGAUGAAGGUCUUCGGAUCGUAAAACUCUGUUAUUAGGGAAGAACAAAUGUGUAAGUAACUAUGCACGUCCUGACGGUACCUAAUCAGAAAGCCACGGCUAACUACGUG